AAGUCGUAACAAGGUGAACCUGCGGAAGGAUCAUUAACACGUAUCCAACGUUAAAACAACCCUGUGAAUUUCAACGCGUGUUCUUGCUUGACACCAAAACAGCAAUCUCUCGUAAAACAGGCGCUGAUUUGAGAGAAUUCUGUCAGUCGGUGGACGUUGCAAUUGAGCACUAGAUAAAGCACCCUGGUACCUUCUGAUCUAUCACCAAUGUCUGAAAGUGUCAAGUGAUGGUCGAUCGCUGUAGGUCCUCACGACCGUCGACCGGGGUGGAGGCUAACGCCCUUACGUCACCCCUAUGUACCCUCCGGGACUUGGCGAAAGCUGACUUCGUCAUAAAUCGAACAACUGUUAACAAUGGAUAUCUUGGUUCUC
rnacentral:misc_RNA from 1 species